AGCAGCCGCGGUAAUUCCAGCUCCAAUAGCGUAUAUUAAAGUUGUUGCAGUUAAAAAGCUCGUAGUUGAAUUUCGGGAUCAGUACGUCGGUCGUGCCUUGGUACGUACUGGCGUCGCUGAUUCUCCCUUCUGACGAACCGUGAUGCCAUUAAUUUGGUGUUGCGGGGAAUCAGGACUGUUACUUUGAAAAAAUUAGAGUGUUUAAAGCGGGCACGCGCUUGAAUACAUUAGCAUGGAAUAACGAAAUAGGACGUUCGAUCUUAUUUUGUUGGUUUCUAGGAUUGACGUAAUGAUUAAUAGGGAUAGUUGGGGGCAUUAGUAUUCAAUUGUCAGAGGUGAAAUUCUUGGAUUUAUUGAAGACUAACUACUGCGAAAGCAUUUGCCAAGGAUGUUUUCAUUAAUCAAGAACGAAAGUUAGGGGAUCGAAGACGAUCAGAUACCGUCGUAGUCUUAACCAUAAACUAUGCCGACUAGGGAUCGGAUGAUGUUAAUUUUAUAAUGACUCAUUCGGCGCCUUACG
rnacentral:rRNA from 1 species